GAUGAACGCUGGCGGCGUGCCUAAUACAUGCAAGUAGAACGCUGAAGGAGGAGCUUGCUCUUCUGGAUGAGUUGCGAACGGGUGAGUAACGCGUAGGUAACCUGCCUGGUAGCGGGGGAUAACUAUUGGAAACGAUAGCUAAUACCGCAUGACAACAGUUAUUGCAUGAUAACUGUUUAAAAGGGGCAACUGCUCCACUACCAGAUGGACCUGCGUUGUAUUAGCUAGUUGGUGAGGUAACGGCUCACCAAGGCGACGAUACAUAGCCGACCUGAGAGGGUGAUCGGCCACACUGGGACUGAGACACGGCCCAGACUCCUACGGGAGGCAGCAGUAGGGAAUCUUCGGCAAUGGACGGAAGUCUGACCGAGCAACGCCACGUGAGUGAAGAAGGUUUUCGGAUCGUAAAGCUCUGUUGUAAGAGAAGAACGAGUGUGAGAGUGGAAAGUUCACACUGUGACGGUAUCUUACCAGAAAGGGACGGCUAACUACGUG
rnacentral:rRNA from 1 species